rnacentral:rRNA from 1 species
GAUGAACGCUGGCGGCGUGCCUAAUACAUGCAAGUCGAGCGAACAGACGAGGAGCUUGCUCCUCUGACGUUAGCGGCGGACGGGUGAGUAACACGUGGAUAACCUACCUAUAAGACUGGGAUAACUUCGGGAAACCGGAGCUAAUACCGGAUAAUAUAUUGAACCGCAUGGUUCAAUAGUGAAAGACGGUUUUGCUGUCACUUAUAGAUGGAUCCGCGCCGCAUUAGCUAGUUGGUAAGGUAACGGCUUACCAAGGCAACGAUGCGUAGCCGACCUGAGAGGGGGAUAGGCCACCCUGGAACUGAGCCACGGUCCAGACUCCUACGGGAGGCAGCAGUAGGGAAUCUUCCGCAAUGGGCGAAAGCCUGACGGAGCAACGGCGCGUGAGUGGUGAAGGUCUUCGGAUCGUAAAGCUCUGUUAUUAGGGAAGAACCAAUGUGUAAGUAACUAUGCACGUCUUGACGGUACCUGAUCAGAAAGCCACGGCUAACUACGUG